GACGUAGGGCGCGAGCGUUGUCCGGAUUUAUUGGGCGUAAAGAGCUUGUAGGCGGUCUGUCGCGUCUGCUGUGAAAAUCCGGGGCUCAACCCCGGACUUGCAGUGGGUACGGGCAGACUAGAGUGUGGUAGGGGAGACUGGAAUUCCUGGUGUAGCGGUGAAAUGCGCAGAUAUCAGGAGGAACACCGAUGGCGAAGGCAGGUCUCUGGGCCACUACUGACGCUGAGAAGCGAAAGCAUGGGGGAGCGAACAGG
rnacentral:rRNA from 1 species